CUCGUUCCUAUUGUUAAAACCAAUCUUUGUGAUCUUAGAACUGUAUGUAGGACGUACCCGACACCAUAUAUUUUCUCACACCAGAAGACAUAAUUUAUUCUUUAAAAUAAAUUAACACAAGUUAUAGCCAUAUCUACUAGUACAUUUUACUGACUUUAGCUAUUGUAUAUUCAAUCAGAGUCGUGGCGAAGAGGAUAAAGAAGGGGGGGGCAGGGUGUAGUAUCGCAUUUGCCCACAGCAUUUCAGUCGCUAAUUAAUAUUUUUCCACAACUAAAUUGUUGGCGAGCGGGGGAUCGAAAACUUUUCCGGACAUACGAAAAUUUUUCCGGACAUACGAAAAUUUUUCCGGACACACGAAAAUUUUCCCGGACAUAUCGUAAUUUGUUAGCUUUUUUCGUAAUCAGUUUCGUAAAUUUACCAAAAUUUUUGCCAAAACUAUUAAUAUUUUCGCUGACUACAAUAUUUUCGCCGGAGUACAAAAACAAUUUACCCCCCGCUCAAGCAUUGAAUAAUUCAAUU